UCAUAUAUGUCUAUGGUACAACAACAAAAGCGCAACAAUUUCAGUGUCAGGGUCAAUCGCUAUUUUUCUUAUAUUUCAUUAUGUAAUUUGUUAAUUUUUUUUUUAGUUCUCACAAUACAAAGUAAAUAAAUUCCGAUUGCAAUUUUCAUACAAAAAAUUCUGUCACCGUGCACAAACGCCAAAAAGUACAAGAAAUUUUCAGUCUGCAGCAGUUUAAUUUGUAUUUGUUUUGAAGUUAUUAAAUUUAAAUUUUCUUUUUGUAGUUGCAAGUAAUUUUGGUAAAUUUUUAUCAAGUUUCAAAGUCUUCUAAAUUUUAUGUGUAUAUGUGUGAGUAUUUGUGUGUGUGUGUGUGGCAACAAAUUGUAGAAUUUUUUAAACAUAAUACUAAAAAAAAUUACAUUUGUCGGCGUUGGAGUGCAGGGAGUUUUUGUUUUUGCUUUUUUACUUUAUUUUAAUAAAAAUUCUAUGCAUUAAAAUAGUUAUUAUUUAAGGUAUGUUUUUGGCCGUAGAUUGCAACACAUUAUCUGUGAAGAGAUUAAAUCAUAAAUAAAAAUUAAAAAUUAAUUCAUUUUUCUCUUAAUUGUCGUUGUUGUUUUUUUCAUAAUUAACUGCCCUAAUACCAAACAAAUAGACAAAAAUACUAAAAUGAACUAGCGCUCAAAACAGAUUCCGUUGCGAACCAAACAAGUUUAUUCAUGCAUGAUUUUUAAAUAAAGCUUCUCUUUUGCGUUAUGUAGAAGUAAUUAAAUUAAAAAGUAGGAAUACAAAUAGUGGAGCAGAGGUAAACCAAAA